UACGUAGGGUGCAAGCGUUAAUCGGAAUUAUUGGGCGUAAAGCGCACGUAGGCGGCCGACUAAGUCGGGUGUGAAAGCCCAGGGCUCAACCCUGGAAGUGCACUCGAAACUGACCGGCUUGAAUAUGGAAGAGGGUCGCGGAAUUCCCGGUGUAGAGGUGAAAUUCGUAGAUAUCGGGAGGAACACCAGUGGCGAAGGCGGCGCCUGGGCCAAUAUUGACGCUGAGGUGGCGAAAGCGAUGGGA
rnacentral:rRNA from 1 species